UGGGGGAUAUUGCACAAUGGGGGAAACCCUGAUGCAGCGAUGCCGCGUGAGUGAAGACGGCCUUCGGGUUGUAAAGCUCUGUCGCAGAGGACGAAAAUGACGGUACUCUGUAAGAAAGCUCCGGCUAACUACGUGCCAGCAGCCGCGGUAAUACGUAGGGAGCAAGCGUUGUCCGGAAUUACUGGGUGUAAAGGGAGCGUAGGCGGGAGGAUAAGUUGAAUGUGAAAUCUAUGGGCUCAACCUAUAGCUGCGUUCAAAACUGUUCUUCUUGAGUGAAGUAGAGGCAGGCGGAAUUCCUAGUGU
rnacentral:rRNA from 1 species